GACAGAGGGUGCAAACGUUGUUCGGAAUUACUGGGCGUAAAGCGCGUGUAGGCUGCUCGGAAAGUCGGGUGUGAAAGCCCUGGGCUUAACCCAGGAGGUGCACUCGAAACUCCCGAGCUGGAGUCCUGGAGAGGAAGGCGGAAUUCUCGGUGUAGAGGUGAAAUUCGUAGAUAUCGAGAGGAACAUCGGUGGCGAAGGCGGCCUUCUGGACAGUGACUGACGCUGAGACGCGAAAGCGUGGGGAGCAAACAGG
rnacentral:rRNA from 1 species